GGUAAAGAAGGACCGCAUUGUGGCUAUCUUUUCCACUGCCUAUGGAGAGGUGUCUCCAGUAGUCCCACCCCGUUAAUUGAGGAUGCUUCAUGGAGAAAAAUCCCCCUAUUCCUCAUUAACCAAAUUUGCCAGGUUAUAGCCAUGACUAACUGAUCCCAACCCUUCCUGAGACCCCUCUCAAUCUUCUUUCUUCUCCAGGUUGACCAAAAGUGGAUGAGGUCUUUGGGUCUGCCCGUGACGUUCAACAGAGUUUUGACCACAAACAGCAGGCUUUUGGCGAAUGAGCAUUUGAGAAACAGGUGAGUCACUGAUUCAACGUUGGCUCCAUAGAAAUGGCAAGCCAUGGUGCUUGCCCCGCCUUUCUUAGCCAUUAUCUCACCUGUAUUUAUAGCUUGUUUAAUAGGGCCAGCCACAUGAACACUUUAGUUUUAACAGGGAUCGAGGCUUUCCAAAUGACCUCGUAGAAAUUAAGGCCACAGAACUCCUCCUUGGUUGAGAAGAAAUUGGUAAAACGAGGAAACAGAGAAGCAACCAUUGUUCGUUAAUCUCCAACAAGGGGAAUCCCAGGAAACAGAGAACCAAAUGGCUUUGUCACGCUAAUCUGUUGAUGAUUAGCGUGACAAACUAGGCAUGAUCUACCUUUUAUUUUUCCUGAUCCCACCCGCUCAUUUACGACCAGUUGGCAACCAUAAUCACUUCCACCUCAUCCUCAAAAUAAAAUUCGUAAGAGGAAAAGCUACGUUGUUAAUUGCCCACAUCAAAGAAGACUGGUGCAAUGGAGCUAUGGCCAUUUGAAUUUAAUGGUCUGACAAUGUUCUGAGAUGUACAUCACCAACUUUUUGGCGGGGCUACUGAAUACUGGUGGGUGGGAGAAGCCUUGCUCUAUCUGAUCUUUCUGAUGCCCUCGAUGGCAUCACAUAUGAUGGAUAUAUUUAUUAGGGAUCAUCAGUUUGUAAACUUAGUAGAUGUUCUGUUCUCGAAGUAACUUGUAGUACUAAUUAAAAACUUUAUAUCAUAAUGGAUUUGCUGGAUCAAUUGGUUUUGACCUGCCUUAAUGGCAUGUGCUUGUGAAGGACAUGCGAAGGGUUAGAAACCAGUAUUCUCCCUUCAGCCAUCAGACCAGCUGCAGUUUGUGCACAGAUGAAAUAAUGGAUUUUUCAUUUUUUGGUUGCACCGAGCAAAUGAUUUAUGGAAGCAGCAUAGUUAAUUACCAAAGAACUAAAAAUCAAGUGUUAGAAAAAAGUUACUACUUGUAUUUCAUAUAUGCAAGUAGUUGCCAAGUCGCGAUUAUACAAGACACAUGUGCAUCAAAUUGAAAAUCACAAAUGCAGACGCCAGAUGUAACACUAGCCUAAAUUGACCUUAUGUGCUCUAGAGAAAUGCUUAGCAGCAGCAACCAUGGAAGCCUUUGGACCGGAUCGCCUUGUCUUUGCUUGGCUUCUAUCAACAAAACAAAGGAAUGUGAACCAUGAUGCUAACACUGAAGAGAAUGUCCCGCAAUCCUCCUUGCUUUCCAUCACUUAAUUGUGUCGGCACAAAACAAAGUGGAGACUCCAGCAGGUCAAACCAAAUAACUCAAAGUGGCUUCUAAAUGUUGAAAGCUUUGGUGGGUGCCUCCAGGAUGUAGUUUAUAUACAGAAACAUUCUUGGUGAGCAAGUUAUUACUUCAGGAAUUAGAAAGCUAUGUUGGAAGACUAGUCAAUCAUGGAGACUGGAGAGAGUUCAAAAGUCCGUAAUAGUUUUUCCUUGGAGAAGGGUGAUGAGAGCUAAUGCUGGCGCGCACCACAAGAAUUCGCUUGGAACCCACGCAUCCGAAGAGAUGCGUGAUUGUCAAUUAAUGCUGUGCGGCUUGGCAGAGACUUUUCAUUAAGCAAGUUAGCUUUGAUCCUUAAGGAUGAUAUAUUUGAUCAC
rnacentral:lncRNA from 1 species